GCUAAGCCUUAAAUAGAGAGCUGCCUUACGAUGCUCUCCGCCAAAGAACUACAAGUGAAAAACUUAAAACUCAAAGGACUUGGCGGCGUCCCAAAACGAUCUAGAGGAGCCUGUCCUAUAAUCGAUACCCCCCGUUUCACCCAACCUUAACUAGCCCGCUCAGCCUAUAUACCGCCGUCGACAGUUUACCCCAUGAGGGAUAAAUAGUAAACACAAAAGUCUUACCACUAAUACGUCAGGUCAAGGUGUAGCAAAUGUUAAGGAAGAGAUUGGCUACAUUUUUUAUUUUAAAAAACACGAAAUGCACAAUGAAACCCUGCAAAAAGGUGAAUUUAGCAGUAAAUUAGAUUAGAGUGUCUAAUUUAACCCCGCUCUGGGACGUGCACACACCGCCCGUCACCCUCCUCAGCAACCAACCAUACCUAUAUAAUACCUUAAAGUUAUUUAGAGGAGGU
rnacentral:rRNA from 1 species